UCUGGGUAGGCGAGGACUAGGCGGAGUCAACUGGGUGACAACUAGGCGCAGAGCCUGUGAAGGAAGCCAACGGAAGCAGGGCGGAUAGGAAUCUUACAGGUUUUUCUGUGGAAGUCUUGGUGAACAUUUUUAAUU